GGGGCAGGCUGUGGAUUCUGGUAUAAAAAUGCGCGUCCGCAAUUAGCGCAGUUUGCCCGUUCGCUCUCUGUUGUUAACAACAGGUUAAUAAACAAUCAAACAAACAAACAAACGCCCAUAAACACUCGACGGGUUUCACGCCAUUUACCACCUAAAUCACUUUUUGGCAGAAUUCCGACACAUUAUCCACAAAAUCUCACCCGGAGUUUGAGGCCCAUUUGGAAAGCAGCUUGCAAAAGGUUACCUGGCGUACGAGUUCGAUAAGUUCUGGUUGCAGGAGGAGCUGGAAAGCAUCAUGGAGUUUAAUCGCUACAGAGAAAAGUUCCAUGACAAGGUUACCUGGCGUACGAGUUCGAUAAGUUCUGGUUGCAGGAGGAGCCGGAGAGCAUCAUGGAGUUUAAUCGCUACAAAGAAAAGUUCCAUCACAAGGUCAAAGGUCACCUUCAGGAGCCAGAGGUCACACUCACCCUGACCCCAAAUCCAGAAAACUGAUUCCCAAUGCAUUCCAGAUCAAUUCAGAGACAAGACAAACCAAUUAAACUGCGGUGUAAGCGGUACAUCAAGUGUACAUAACUGGUCGUUUAGCUGCAUUUACCUGGUCAGGGAACA